UACGGAGGGUGCAAGCGUUAUCCGGAAUCAUUGGGUUUAAAGGGUCCGCAGGCGGGAAUAUAAGUCAGUGGUGAAAUCUCAUAGCUUAACUAUGAAACUGCCAUUGAUACUGUAUUUCUUGAAUUCGGUCGAAGUGGGCGGAAUAUGACAUGUAGCGGUGAAAUGCAUAGAUAUGUCAUAGAACACCGAUAGCGAAGGCAGCUCACUAGGCCUGGAUUGACGCUCAGGGACGAAAGCGUGGGGAGCAAACAGG
rnacentral:rRNA from 1 species